rnacentral:rRNA from 1 species
GGGAAUAUUGGGCAAUGGGGGCCACCCUGACCCAGCGACGCCGCGUGAGGGAAGAAGGCCUUAGGGUCGUAAACCUCUGUUGUGUGGGAAGAAGGAAGUGACGGUACCACACGAGGAAGUCCCGGCUAACUACGUGCCAGCAGCCGCGGUAAUACGUAGGGGACGAGCGUUGUCCGGAAUUACUGGGCGUAAAGGGCGCGUAGGCGGUCAUUUAAGUCAGCUGUGAAAUGGUCCGGCUCAACCGGAUCAUGCGGUUGAAACUGGAUGACUGGAGUGCUGGAGAGGCAAGUGGAAUUCCCAGUGUAGCGGUGAAAUGCGUAGAUAUUGGGAAGAACACCGGUGGCGAAGGCGACUUGCUGGCCAGCAACUGACGCUGAGGCGCGAAAGCCAGGGGAGCAAACGG